rnacentral:rRNA from 1 species
UACGGGGGGGGCAAGCGUUGUUCGGAAUUACUGGGCGUAAAGGGCUUGUAGGUGGCCAACUAAGUCAGACGUGAAAUCCCUCGGCUUAACCGGGGAACUGCGUCUGAUACUGGAUGGCUUGAGUGUGGGAGAGGGAUGCGGAAUUCCAGGUGUAGCGGUGAAAUGCGUAGAUAUCGAGAGGAACACCUGCGGCGAAGGCGGGUUGCUGGGCUGACACUGACGCUGAGGCGCGAAAGCCAGGGGAGCGAACGGG